GGGGGCCCGCAAGCGGUGGAGCAUGUGGUUUAAUUCGAAGCAACGCGAAGAACCUUACCAGGUCUUGACAUCCCGCUGACCGCCUUGGAGACAAGGCUUUCCCUUCGGGGACAGCGGUGACAGGUGGUGCAUGGUUGUCGUCAGCUCGUGUCGUGAGAUGUUGGGUUAAGUCCCGCAACGAGCGCAACCCUUUGAUCUUAGUUGCCAGCAUUCAGUUGGGCACUCUAAGGUGACUGCCGGUGACAAACCGGAGGAAGGUGGGGAUGACGUCAAAUCAUCAUGCCCCUUAUGACCUGGGCUACACACGUGCUACAAUGGACGGUACAAAGGGUCGCGAACCCGCGAGGGGGAGCCAAUCCCGGAAAACCGUUCUCAGUUCGGAUUGCAGGCUGCAACUCGCCUGCAUGAAGCCGGAAUCGCUAGUAAUCGCGGAAUCAGCAUGCCCGCGGUGAAUACGUUCCCGGGGCCUUGUACACACC
rnacentral:rRNA from 1 species